GUUGAAACCCCAGUUCCGGUACGAUCAAUAAAAUUAAGCAACGUCGAGCCUGGUCAGUACCUUGAUGGGUGACCGCUUGGGAAUAACAGCUACUGUAAG